GCCAAAUACCACGCAUUGUAGUAAAAAAGUUUGAGAUGGCGCUGAUGGUUUUUUCCUCGACUAAAAUUACUACAAGUUGGAGUGUAUCUUACAAAUAAUGCAGUGUCAUCUUCGGCAAAAAUAGUGACAAACCUAAAUAUAUUAAUAAAUUGUUCUGUAACAGGAACAGCAAAAGUUGUUUAUUACACACCAUUGGCAAGUUAUCACGCCUCCAUAUUUCACUUUAUCGUAGUAGUAAAUAAGACUGCAAGCGUUGAGUACUUCAGAGAUAUGCUACUUAUGACGUGAUAACCUCAAAGGACCUUACCUUCGAGACCGCCGACGUAGACAUGAGAGGGAUCAAAAGAUAUCGUGCCAUUUGAAGUCUCGAAAAGAACCGCGUCAUGGAAGAG